UCGGAUCCAAAUGAGGUCGAUCGAUCCAAGAACGAAAAUAAUUUGAAGAAGACAUGUUUUUUAUGAAUCAAAUUCGUGUGUAAAGAAAGUGAGAGGGAGGAUGAAGAUAUGGUGUGAAUGAAGAGGAAGAGGGGUGCUUGUAUUUAUAGUUGAAAUCCUGCCGACGGUCCGAGGAAAUUCCGACGGAAUUCCGAUGCAAACGGCUAGUUCGUCGGAAUUUCCUCGGAAUUUUUAAAAUCCCCCCAACGGCUCUCCAACGGCUCUCUAACGUCUAUAAUAUUUCCUCGGAAUUCAUCGGUUUUUUCCGAGGAACACUAGUUUCCUCGGUAUUCCGUCGGAAUAUUCCGACGAAAUGAAUUUUCCUCGGAAUUCCGUCGGAAUAUUCCGACGGAAUUCCGAGGAAGCAAAAUUUUGUGUUUCCUCGGAAUUGCCUCGGAAAUGCCUCGGUAUAUUCCGAGGAAUUCAUUUUCCGUCGGAACGUCCGUCAGAAUACCGCUGUUUUCUUGUAGUGUGA
rnacentral:lncRNA from 1 species